rnacentral:rRNA from 1 species
GNGUUNNGGAGCUACCAUGCAGUCGAGCGGAGAGAGGUAGCUUGCUACUGAUCUUAGCGGCGGACGGGUGAGUAAUGCUUAGGAAUCUGCCUAUUAGUGGGGGACAACAUUUCGAAAGGAAUGCUAAUACCGCAUACGUCCUACGGGAGAAAGCAGGGGAUCUUCGGACCUUGCGCUAAUAGAUGAGCCUAAGUCGGAUUAGCUAGUUGGUGGGGUAAAGGCCUACCAAGGCGACGAUCUGUAGCGGGUCUGAGAGGAUGAUCCGCCACACUGGGACUGAGACACGGCCCAGACUCCUACGGGAGGCAGCAGUGGGGAAUAUUGGACAAUGGGCGCAAGCCUGAUCCAGCCAUGCCGCGUGUGUGAAGAAGGCCUUAUGGUUGUAAAGCACUUUAAGCGAGGAGGAGGCUACUUUAGUUAAUACCUAGAGAUAGUGGACGUUACUCGCAGAAUAAGCACCGGCUAACUCUGUGCCAGCAGCCGCGGUAAUACAGAGGGUGCAAGCGUUAAUCGGAUUUACUGGGCGUAAAGCGCGCGUAGGCGGCUAAUUAAGUCAAAUGUGAAAUCCCCGAGCUUAACUUGGGAAUUGCAUUCGAUACUGGUUAGCUAGAGUGUGGGAGAGGAUGGUAGAAUUCCAGGUGUAGCGGUGAAAUGCGUAGAGAUCUGGAGGAAUACCGAUGGCGAAGGCAGCCAUCUGGCCUAACACUGACGCUGAGGUGCGAAAGCAUGGGGAGCAAACAGGAUUAGAUACCCUGGUAGUCCAUGCCGUAAACGAUGUCUACUAGCCGUUGGGGCCUUUGAGGCUUUAGUGGCGCAGCUAACGCGAUAAGUAGACCGCCUGGGGAGUACGGUCGCAAGACUAAAACUCAAAUGAAUUGACGGGGGCCCGCACAAGCGGUGGAGCAUGUGGUUUAAUUCGAUGCAACGCGAAGAACCUUACCUGGCCUUGACAUAGUAAGAACUUUCCAGAGAUGGAUUGGUUGCCUUCGGGAACUUACAUACAGGUGCUGCAUGGCUGUCGUCAGCUCGUGUCGUGAGAUGUUGGUUAGUCCCGCAACGAGCGCAACCUUUUCCUUAUUUGCCAGCGGAGUAUGUCGGGACUUAAAGGAUUACUGCCGUGAACAACCUGGAGGAA